rnacentral:rRNA from 1 species
GACGAACGCUGGCGGCGUGCUUAACACAUGCAAGUCGAACGGAAAGGCCCUGCUUUUGUGGGGUGCUCGAGUGGCGAACGGGUGAGUAACACGUGAGUAACCUGCCCUUGACUUUGGGAUAACUUCAGGAAACUGGGGCUAAUACCGGAUAGGAGCUCCUGCUGCAUGGUGGGGGUUGGAAAGUUUCGGCGGUUGGGGAUGGACUCGCGGCUUAUCAGCUUGUUGGUGGGGUAGUGGCUUACCAAGGCUUUGACGGGUAGCCGGCCUGGGAGGGUGACCGGCCACAUUGGGACUGAGAUACGGCGCAGACUGGUACGGGAGGCAACGGUGGGGAAUAUUACACAGUGAGCGGAAGCCUGAUGCGGCGACGCCGCGUGCGGGAUGACGGCCUGCGGGUUGUGAACCGCUUUCGCCUGAGACGAAGCGUGAGUGACGGUAAUGGGUAAAGAAGCACCGGCUAACUACGUG